rnacentral:rRNA from 1 species
AUUGAACGCUGGCGGCAGGCCUAACACAUGCAAGUCGAACGGUAGCACAGAGAGCUUGCUCUCGGGUGACGAGUGGCGGACGGGUGAGUAACGUCUGGGAAACUGCCCGAUGGAGGGGGAUAACUACUGGAAACGGUAGCUAAUACCGCAUAACGUCGCAAGACCAAAGUGGGGGACCUUCGGGCCUCACACCAUCGGAUGUGCCCAGAUGGGAUUAGCUAGUAGGUGGGGUAAUGGCUCACCUAGGCGACGAUCCCUAGCUGGUCUGAGAGGAUGACCAGCCACACUGGAACUGAGACACGGUCCAGACUCCUACGGGAGGCAGCAGUGGGGAACAUUGCACAAUGGGCGCAAGCCUGAUGCAGCCAUGCCGCGUGUAUGAAGAAGGCCUUCGGGUUGUAAAGUACUUUCAGCGGGGAGGAAGGCGGUGGAGUUAAUAACUUCACCGAUUGACGUUACCCGCAGAAGAAGCACCGGCUAACUCCGUGCCAGCAGCCGCCGUAA